rnacentral:lncRNA from 1 species
CGAUCUUCAGCUUGUAAUUUUCCUCUUGAAGAGAACUAAUACCCCAUAAUAACUUGGCCUUUUCAUGUUUAAAUUCAUGUCUCGCUAAUUCCAGCUCGGAUGGCAUUUCUUUUGAGAAAGGAUUCUGGAAAGUGUAACUCAUCAGUGAGAUUUGUUGACUAUUUACUCGUCAUUUUCUCCAUAAGUCAUAAUCCUGAGUGGUAGUAUCAGCAUAAAGGGCUAACUCUAUAAGGUGAAUUUCCUUCUAAGACUUUGUAGUAUCUCAGACUCUUUUCAUAUAGCCUUCACCCGUAAAGGCGAACUCUGAUUGUGCCAAUCCUCCGGUAGCAGGUAUGAACUGUCGUGAAGCAAACAGCCUUUGAACCAUUAACGGAGCGUAUCCAAUUCCUCUCCAUAAUCCUAGUAAAGGCACCAAAUCUUGGCUUCCAUAUUUAUAUAAUAUAACUGAAGGACGGAUCCAUGGUGCUCCCCAUUAAGUAACUGCGCGCAUCCGAUAAAACGUCCUUCCCCUUUCCUCCUACAACAACUUAAAGAUGUAAAAGUCUCGACCAAGAUAGCCAGGACGGGGUUGAUCCCUUGCUUCAAUCUUUCGAAGAAAUCCACUACCGCGACUUCUAUGUGCCCGAGAACUUUUAGGAAAACAAUUAAUCCGUAAAUGGCCAAAGCAAAUAGAUCAAUCCUCUUCAUAAUAUCUGGAUGGUUUUGAACUAAAUCUCGCAAAGAAAACCACAGAACACAACUAACUUCGUUCUUUUUAUUUAUUUGCUUUUCAGCCCACAUAUCAAUCAUUCUCGUCAACCUCACUAACUUUUUCUUGAAGGUCAUUGGUUUGGGCUCCUUCACAUAUAUCUUGCUGAAUUGUACAUUGUCAAUGCGAAGCUAGGCAGCAUACUCUUCUAUGGUCAGAGUCAUAUCUUCCUGAUUGAAAGUAAAGCACUGGUAAGUUGGGUCCCAGAAUUAAACCAUGGCUUGAAUCAACUGUUUGUCUAUAUUGAUGGCGAUCAAGUGAGCUAUAUCCCCGUAUUUUUCAGUAAAGAUGCCUCUAGUAUCUGAGUCCUACUGUUUCCAAAUCUGAGUCAAAUCCUCGAGAUUAUUUUGACGAACAUUUGUAGCUACUUGCUCGGGAAGAUUGGAGAUACAUCAUUCUGUUAAACUGUCCCCUUUCGCCUUCUGAGUUUUCAAAGACCAGUCUCGAACCACUGUAUUUUUCUCAGUCAUUUGUGUAAUUGACUCCUCCAUCAGAAACCUGUUUUUGGCAACCAAUCUCUAAUUAACACCUCCCUAAUCAAGAUGCCUAUGAUGCAUGAUGAAAAAUAAAAACAAAGACAAACAACUUUGGCUAGUAACCACAACAAAUAAGAACUGAGGAAAACUAUAGAAACUUCAACAAAUUAAGCUACCCGAUUCAAUUUCUUUCCAUAAACAGUGUAAUGUAAAGGAAAUGAAAGGCAAGAGCGUUUCUCCCGUGUACUUAUUUUAGUGACUAUUAACGGAAAGAGGUUCGGCGUGGCUCUAAUUAGGUGGCUCAUAUGGUUUACUAUAUGCGAUUUCGGUUCUAGACAGGUACUCGAAUUGUUCGUACUAUCGUCUACUAAAACUAGUACGAAGCCUCGGUCGUAGCCCAUCACAGGCUCACGAGUUCAAUUCGAGGGAUUACAUUUACUUAUGUCUAUGCAGAGGGACAAGUUAACUCACAAAAGCAUAAGUCAUAUGUUAUCCGAAAGUAUUCACUAGCCUAUGCGGAGGCACGAGUUAACUCACGAAGGCAUAGCGUUUACUUCGACUAAAGCGGACGAAACCUGGGUGGAGAGCUCAUGUUAUGCAAAAAUGCAAGUGCACGGUGUGUGGGGAGAAACUCACAAACAUUUACGUUUUACUUAAAAACUAAACUAAAAAAACUAAAACCAUAAGAACUUAGAGCCGAAAAUCAACAAGAUGAAAUAAAUUAGAAGAAUAUUUACAACAUGAUGCAAAUGCAUGACUUUUCAAAACAAAAUUUAAGGAUCACGACUAAAUAUUAAUUUGAACAAGGAAUUUUGAAAAUUUUGACAACACGUGUUUAAUUCAAGACUCGACUCUCAAAAAUGUCCCCAGUGGAGUCGCCAGUUGUAGCGACGUAAAUUUUUUUUGCUUUGGUCGUUAAUUGAGGCGAUUUAUUGAAAAUUUGAAAAACUGACUUUUGAUUUUUUUUUAAAAAGGGAGUCGCCACCGAUCCUUUUUCCUAGGUGUGAUCGGACACUUGAUAAAUCUUCGUUUUAACAAAAAAAAAUUAUUUUUGAUAAGAAGGAAGACGAGUUUAGGUCUACGUGAAAGUUCAAAGAAAAAUAGGGUUCGGAAGUCGGUUACGCGCGGGGAAGGUAUUAGCACCCCCGCGACGCCCAAAAUUGGUAUCUCAUUAAACAUGUGUUGUCUCAAUUUUCAAAAAUGCGAGUUCAAUGUAACGUUUAAUCGUGAUCCGAUCAAAACAUGAGAAAUUUCAAGUUUAUGGUUUUUUUUGAAGGAUGUCCCGUUUUUAACACGAGCCAACGUGAUUCACCCAACAUAGCGAUGAAAUCACAAACUUAAUGUUAAAAUCGGUACAUUUCCUUAUUUAUUGAAAUUAAUAAAAAACAUGAAUAAAAAUAUUUUUUAAAAUAAAAAUUCAUAAAUAAAUAAACGGUGCAAACAAUGAUAUAAUGAAUGAAAAAUACUAACAUAUAAUAUAAAAGCAAUAGGAUAAAAAUAAAAACAAUAUUUACAAUAAAAAGAAAAUAAUAAUAAAAAAUAAUGAUAUGCUAAUAAUAUAAUAAGAAAAGCAAACUGAUACGGAAUGGGUAAGAAACAAAAAAUAAAGGAGUUAGAAAUACAUUGAAGUAAAUAAUAAAUAUGAUAAUAAUAUUAAAAACAAUAACAAUGCAUGCGAUAUUAAAUGUAAUAGUAAUAUUAAACACGAAAUAAAAACAACGAAUAUAUAUACAUAUAAUAAUAGUUAGUAAAGUGACGAAAACAUGAUAUUAAAAACACUAAUAAUGUUACCUAUAUACAUACAUAUAUAUAUUAAAAUAUAAACAUAAUAAUAGUAUUACAAAGUAUAUAUAUAAUAUUAAAAAUAUAUACAUAAUAUAUACAUAUUAGAGAUAAUAAUAAUAUUAAAAACAACUAUUAAUAAUACUACAUAAGUAUACACAUAUAUAUUAAAAAUAAAUACAUAAUAAUAUUAAAAGUAUAUACAUAAUAUAUAUAAAAUAUAGUUGUCGAAACCAUCCCUCGAUUUAAAAUAUUUUAGAUUUAAAAAAGGAGAGAUCGACUUUUUGAAAAAUAGCAAGAUGGAGUCGCCACCGUUCUUUUGUUUUGAUGUGAUCGGAUCACCUAAGGAUUUGGUUAUUUUAAUGAGACAUUUUCAGUUUACUAAAACACAGAUUAUGGUCUACGAAAAUUUUAGAAAACGGGCUCGGGAGUCGGUUACGUAUGAGGAAGGGUUAGCACCCUCACUAUGCCCAAAAUUGGUACCAAAUCGAUUAAAUACUGUCCUUAUGUCUAAAGUUAAAAAGUUUUUGAAAUGUGGUUCUUCUUUAUGACGUUUGAGUAACCCAAGUUGGUUGCCAAAAUCUUCUUGUUUCAAUAUUCGAAAGCUUAUAAUUCGAGAAUUACAAAAGGAUGCUCAACUAUUUAGUCCAACGAAAAAUCGAAACCCAGCACAGUAGGGUACGAUUUCUCGAAUUUCCAAACAUUGACCAUUGCCUUACCUUAUAAAAUACGUGUGAAAUUCCGAGGAGAUAUUCGAUUAUUUUGGACAAAUGAAAAAGCGCAACCCAACACGAUAGGGCUCGAUUCUCAAAUUGCCAAUCAUCGAACAUCGCCUACAUUUUGAAAGAUUUUAGAAAAUGUGAGUGAAAUUCCAAUGGGAUGUUCAACUGUUCCGAACCAAUGAAAAAGCGCAACCCAGCACGAUAAGGCACGAUUCUCAAAUAGCCAAACAUUGAACAUCGUCUUUGUUUUUAAGUAUUUUUUUUAUAUAAACAUGAGUGAGAAUAUAAAGGAAUGUUCAAUCGUUUUGAGCAAACGAGAAAUCACAACCCAUCACGAUAGGGCAUGAUUCUCGGAUUGUCAAACGCCAAAUAUUGCCUUCAUUUUAAAUAAUUUUUAGAUGAUAUGAAUGAAAUUUUGAAGGGAUACUGGAUUAUUUUGAGCAAACGCGAAGUUGCAACCUAACACGUUAGGACACAAUUUCGCGAAUUGCUAAAUAUCGAAUCUCGUCUUCGUUUUGAAGAAUUUUUGAAUGAAUGAUUAUAAAGCUAGCUUAAGACGUAUUAAUUCGAUUUGAAAUAAGGUGAAAUUAAUCAUAAGAUUCGGGUUUUAUAGAACCACAUUUCAAAAAUCAAGAUGGAAAACGAUGAUAUAAGGUAAUAGGCAUAUACGAGAUGUGAUCAACUAACAUACUAAUAAUUAAACGGGACUAAUCUAAAAAGGUAAUGCGAUUGCAAUAAUACAUGGAGAGUAGUCGAUGUGAUGACAUAUAAGAAUGCGCAAAUACGACGUAGCAAAUAUACAAGAAGUAUCGUGAAGAUAAUUAACACAUGAGGUACCAACGAUAUAGAAUCAACACGACACAAAAAUAAUGGACUAAAAAUGAUGGACUAACAAUCAAGUAAUAUAUGCUAGAAUUUGAAACAAUUUAUAUAUAUAUAAAAAAAAGUGUUUAUAUACGUACGAGUGAAUUUUGAAGUAACUAUAUACAAAAUAACAUGAAAUUAAAAAAUAUGAAUUAUAUAUAUAGAAAAAUGGAUUGAUUUUAUCACAAAUUAUAUAUAUAUAUGUAUGUAUGAAAAUAAACUAGAAACAAUUGCUUGUAAAAAAACAUAGAAACAUAUUCAAGAUUGAAUUAUUCUUAUUAUAAAUUAUGAUGGACUUAAAAGCACGCUUAUGUAUAAAGAAAACUAUAUAUAUGUAAAAUAUAGGUUUGAUAAUGUAUGUAAAUCGAAAAACAUGUACUAAUGUAAAUGAAUAACUUAAAUUUUAUGUAAACAUAUAUACAAAGCAUAUUUGAAUAGCAAGAAUAUGUAUUAAAAUACAUGAUCAAAUAUAUAUAUAGGAAAUAAGUGGUAAAUAAAGUGAAUAAUGGCUUAAGAUAUAUAUAUAUAUAUAUACAUACAUAUAUAAGUACAAGAUACAUAAUAUGAAAGAAGAACCUUAAAGUAGGUAAUAAAUAAAAUAUUUUAAAGUAAAUAAAUAAAGUUUAAGAAUAUAUUUAAAAUAAAAUAUAAAUAGUUUAAAAUAUAAUUCAUGAAAGGAAAUCUGAAAUAGAACAUUGUAUACAUAAAAAGAUUUAUAUAUGAAUAAUAUAUAUAUAUAUAUAAAAACGUUAAAAAUAGAUAAUGUUAAUAUAUACAUAAAAGUUUAAAACAAUAAUAUUUAAAUAAUAAAACUCACAACAAAUAAUGAAACAAUCUUUAAAACAUAUAUGCAUAAAAAAAUAUUUAAAACAAAAUGUAUAUAUAACUAUUCAAAAUGAGUAACAUGAACAAUUUAAUACAAAGUUUAAAAUAACUACGAUGGUUUGAAAUAAACAAAAAGGUUUGCAUGUACAUGAACAAGGACUUGAUUGAAAUUAAACUGAAACAACAAGGCAAAACUAAGAAAAUAGAACGAAUAACAAAGGGGGACUAAAUCCUAACGCAAGCAAAUGCCUGGGGUCUAAAAUUGGCAAUAUACCAGACCUCGGAGUGUUGCGUUUAGAUACGGGCCCAAUUACAAACAAACGCAAAUCAUCAGUAUAGAUUAAAAGCAAAUGGGAUGAUGACGCAGGAUGAUUUGGAUGGGGUACGAAAGUAGAGGGGCCAAAAUUGCAAAUAAUCCCUCACCGCGAAAACACGUGGGUCAUCAGGACCACGAACUGGAUCGGGUCGGGCCUUGGCUACACGACGCCGUAUUUGAGCUACAGAGACAUGCUCGAACGGCGACGUUUUCAAAUCACCAUAAAGGCUCAUUUAGGCUUGCCCGCCGAACCCUAGCCUCUCUUCCCAAUCGUCAGCCUCACACUUUCUCCUUCCAGCGUCGAUUCAUCUCCAUCAGAUAGAUGCUCUUAGAGCCUGGAGGAAUCUUGGCCGGAGAUCCCUCCUCAACUUAAAUUUCAACGAAGAGAGGAGGAGAAAUCUGUAGCGUGCUCGCGCGGUAAGGUUUCUCAGUCACUGUUCUUACUAUGUUUUUUAAAAAAAAUGGUGAAUGAUUCCCAUAGAAUACGAAACGAUGUGAAGAAAGGUAAAGAGAUUCGAAGGAAGAAAUCACAUCUGCUAUUUUUUGCUUUCUAUUACGUGUAUAUUCUGUGAAUAUGCGUUCGUAUUGCUUGUGUGUAACCGAUUACAAGGAUCAAAACUUCUGCUUUAUAGCCGAAGAAAAAAGGAAAAUCAAAAUAAAACACAAUAUUUCUCUUCUAUUUCCUAUUUGCUGCUGUUCUGCCUCGUUUGUUUGCAGGUACGAGUACGGGGCUGUGCGUUGGCCCUUGGCACGAGGCAUACGGGGCUGUGCUGGCGCGGGUACGGAGGUGGCUGACGUGGGGGCUGGGGCUUGGCUACCUGGUGAAGGCUGCGGCGCGAGGACCCCUCUGCCCUAGGGUUUGCCGAAGUUUGGUUUGGCUCUCGGGCUAUUUGGGGCUCAUUUUAAGUGUUGGGCCACUAGAUUUGGGCUAGAGGGACUCUUUUGGAUAUUUGGGUUUGUGAUAGGGCAUUAGGCCAUGUAAUUGGGCUGUUAUAAAACUUGGGUUUUAUAUUUAGGUCUAGUUUAUGUAAUUGGGUUGGGCCAUGUAAUGAUUUGGUUUGUAAAAAGACAUUAAUUUGGACUGUUUUAUUUAUUUUAUGUUUAUG